rnacentral:rRNA from 1 species
GACGAACGCUGGCGGCGUGCUUAACACAUGCAAGUCGAACGGAAAGGCCCUGCUCUUGUGGGGUGCUCGAGUGGGGAACGGGUGAGUAACACGUGAGUAACCUGCCCUUGUCUUUGGGAGAAAAUCAGGAAAAUGGGGCUAAUACCGGAUAGGAGAUCCUGAUGCAUGGGGGGGGUUGGAAAGAUUCGGCGGUGGGGGAUGGAAUCGAAGGUUAUCAGCUUGUUGGUGGGGUAGUGGCUUACCAAGGCUUUGACGGGUAGCCGGCCUGAGAGGGUGAACGGCCACAUUGCGACUGAGAUACGCACCAGACUGCUACGUGAGGCAGCAGUCGGGAGUCUUGCACAAUGGGCGGACGCCUGAUGCAGCAACGCUGCGUGCGGGAUGACCGCCUUCGGGUUGUAAACCGCUUUCUCCUGUGACGAAGCGUGCUUGACGGUAAUGAGUAAAGAAGCAACGGCUAACUACGUG